rnacentral:rRNA from 1 species
GACGAACGCUGGCGGCGUGCUUAACACAUGCAAGUCGCACGAAGUGGCGACCGGGUGAGUAACGCGUAAUCAACCUGCCCUUCAGAGGGGGACAACAGUUGUAAACGCCUGCUAAUACCGCAUACUGAAGGAGGGGCUUGCGUCUGAUUCGCUAGUUGGAGGGGUAACGGCCCACAAAGGCGAUGAUCAGUAGCCGGUCUGAGAGGAUGAACGGCCACAUGGGGACUGAGACACGGCCCAGACUCCUACGGGAGGCAGCAGUGGGGAAUCGUCCGCAAUGGACGAAAGUCUGACGGAGCAACGCCGCGUGAGUGAUGACGGCCUUCGGGUUGUAAAGCUCUGUUAAUCGGGACGCGGUACCGGAAGAGAAAGCCACGGCUAACUACGUGCCAGCCGCCGCGGUAAUAC